rnacentral:tRNA from 1 species
CCCCUGAUGGUCUAGUUGGAUAUGACGUCUGACUGCAAAUCAGAAGGUCGCUGGCUAUUCCGGCUCGGGGGA